UUUGUCGUGGACCCCGGAGGGUCCGAACUGUCUCAGCGGAGAAAGGGGACAUAGUGUGCUGGCGGGCGCUGGCUGUUGGCGUUAGAGCUCCGGCUGUGGCUCAGUCUGGGGCGCGGUUCUUGCCAACACACCAUGUCCAGAGACAGCUGACAAAAAAACUAAAUUGAAACCAGCUCUGGAUGGGAUAACAACACAGGGUCAUACUUACUUUACGGCAGGCACGUUAUUCGCCUUCUUACUCGCACUUACCGCUAUGGAUUCGCUCUUCAGGGGGCACUGAGACAUCCUACAGUGCCCUGGACGGCCCACCCCAACCAUGGUAUCCGUUGUCCAACAGUUUUGGAUACCCCAGAAUCGUCUCCCCGUUCCCCCUCUACAGCAUGGUGCACUACCCCUUCCUUACCUUAAUGAUCUACUCUUCCAUAGCGAAAUGAGAAUACUAAGCCAAGUGGAAUUUCAUUUCUACGUUAUAAAAGAAAAGUGCCUUUGUUGCGUCUGUCAGAUCGCCGGACUGGAAUGCUUCGACGACGGCUCCCCUGGAUAGCAAGACAAUUUGGUAGCGGAGGUGCCCUGGAUCUCCCUUUUUAUGUUCUUGCCAACCUGCAGGGACAACAUUAAACGACCAAAGGGUCUUUUAUUUAAAGUGUAUUCCUAGUGCCCUAGAAUGAGCUCACCCUACUUCCUAGGUUGUAUCGUCCGUUCAAUCACCGGACUGCAGAUAUGAAACCCAAUGUCUACCCUGUUUGCUGCCUAAGUUAUUCUGUUUUCUUUUUUUUUUAUUUCUUAUAUUUUUAUUCCAGGAUGUGUGUCAAGCUAAGUUUCUCUGUGUAUCGUUCUAAGUAUUGAACAUAUAAAAAGGAGCAUACAUCGGCCUACCUUGGCACCUACGGGCUGCUGGUGCAAAAUUCCCUCGGGGACACUGGAGCAGAUGGCGGCGGUGGAACCAAUGAUGAAGCUGGAGAUGCUGAUGAGAUGAUGAUGUUGUUGAGGAUGGAAAUGUUGACGUUGCCGUGGAUGACGAUGGUUAAAAUUGCAGUAGAGGUGGGUAUUUAUUAUUUGACAAAAAGUUUUUGUUGUUCUGUUUAGUCUUUGCUAUGUUUUAUUCGUGGCUCAAAUUAACGUUCUUUUUCAAAGCUUUUUAUAUUUCACAGGAUCUUUUUUCCUUAGCAUUAAUUAGCACUAAUAAGUUUAUUUAGCUUUAAGUUGAUCUAA